rnacentral:rRNA from 1 species
GAUAUUGCGCAAUGGGGGAAACCCUGACGCAGCGACGCCGCGUGAAGGAAGAAGGCCUUCGGGUCGUAAACUUUUGUCUUCUGGGACGAAACAUGACGGUACCAGAGGAGGAAGCCACGGCUAACUACGUGCCAGCAGCCGCGGUAAUACGUAGGUGGCGAGCGUUGUCCGGAAUUACUGGGUGUAAAGGGCGCGUAGGCGGGGCAGCAAGUCAGAUGUGAAAUUCCAGGGCUUAACUCUGGCGGUGCAUCUGAAACUGUUUAUCUUUAGGGCUUGAGAGGAAAGUGGAAUUCCCAGUGUAGCGGUGAAAUGCGUAGGGAUUGGGAGGAACACCAGUGGCGAAGGCGGCUUUCUGGACAGUAACUGACGCUGAGGCGCGAAAGCGUGGGGAGCAAACAGG